CAUCAUCACAAAAUUCAUAUCAAUCCCAACGAAAUCAACAUUAACACCAACCCAAAGAACUGCAAAUGAAGAGGAUGAAAGGAUUCAAUUGGACUUAGGUAAAUUCAACAACAUGCUUGGAACAAGUAGAUCAGUGUGGUAAUAUUGGCUCUAGCUAGGAACAUGAAACACAGGAUCACCUGCAUCUCUAACGGUAGAACUGGAUAAAGGAACAACAAAUGACGCACUACAGAGUUCCAAAGUUACCAAAGAAUUGUGGUCUAGAGGUGUGGGAACCGGUAACACUGGACAAGGUAUCGGUACCACUAGUACUUUAGAACUGUAAUGUUUUAUUUUGUCUUUGCAGGAAGCUUUGUUGAAACAGAUCAAAGAGCAGAACAAGGGAUUGAAGAAUACUGGGGGCUCCACCCAACGCUCAAAGGGAUAAAUAUAGAAAGAUACUCUCAACAACCUUGAAAGUCGUGACCUGCUUCCCUGCCUAUACCCAAGAAGUUCAGGAUGCUAAUGCUUGCCAAAUUUGAUGGGACUUCAGCUCCUCGGAAUCAUGUCAUGACCUACACUAGUGAAAUCAAAGGAAAUGACUUGACAAAAUAAAAAAUCAAGUCGGUGCUGGUCGAAGUGUUUGGAGAAAUGCUCACAAAGGGAGCAUUAACCCAGUAUUCACUCUUGCUUGAAAACUAAAUUUGUUCUUUUGUAGAACUUGUAGAUUCCUGCAUUAAGGCACACACCAAAGCCCAAAAAGUAAGAAAGUGGAUCAAAUAUAUCUUCAAAAUUCAGCAAAGAUGCACAGAGAUACUCUGAGACUUUAGACUAAUUUCAAAAUAAUGAUGUUGUUAAUAGAGUCAUAACUAGGUUGUGUUGACUUUUGCCAAUAAUGUGAAUGAAAUCAGUUUGGAGGCUACUAGGAUGUUAAAGGGCAGCCUCCAAGAAUUCUCCACAAUGGACUGGAGAGACGUAUAUUAUCAAUAUAGUACCAAACUCUGACAGGAAAGAAGAUAAUCCGCUACCAGUCAAAUCUAACAGUAGGAUAGGGAGACAAUACUACAAUGAUCAAUCAGAGACAACACAUAGAGAGUAGAGUCUGAUCGAAGAAAUUCAAAGAGUUAGUAGUUCUUGGCAAGAAUCUGAGAUGAGCCGAGAUUGGAAAUAGGCCGGGAUAAUAGAGGUACUAACCAAAAGAAUAAUGUUGUAUCGUCACGAGAAAGUAAAUGAGCAAUUGUGCCAAAUCUUGUUAAUUACAACUUUAGUGUUAGCCCUUUCGAGCUAGUAGUUGCAACGAGAGAAGUAGGAGACAAAGUUAUAUGGCCCAAAGAUAUGAGAACAGAUUCUAGAAAAAAAGAGUCAUGAAUUUUGGUGUGACAAUCACAAUUAUGACCGACAUAAGACCGUAAAUUGUAAGGCUUUAUAGCAUGAUCUGGCAUAUCUCAUCAAGAAGGAAUAUCUCAAGGAACUAUUAAUCGAUAAGGGGAAUCAAACCUUCUUUAAGAAUCAAAAAUAUGAAGAGCCACCCCUAGCUCUAUCGCUCAAACGCACAAUUUAUGUCAUCUCCUAAUGAGCAAAGGUAAGC
rnacentral:lncRNA from 1 species